GGAAGUACUACUACUAUUACAAUUGAUGCUUCAGUUCUACGACUUCUUUCAAACCAAGCGUCCACACAUAUCUUGAGCAUUCUCACUGGGCUUCUGUCCUUCAUGAUGGACGAUGCACUGACAACUGGAAGCAUCAAGACAUCAGAUGCAGAAAAGAGGCGUUUAGCAAAAGCUUCCCUUGCCUACAAUUGUGAGAGCAAAAACUGUCCGCACUUCAGGAAACUUUUCCCAGAGUAUGUUGAGAAGUACAAUCAACAGCUACAAUUGGAGAACACUGCUGCAGAGCCGGUGCCUCAGGAGAAUCCUGCACCUGCUCCAUCCCCUGCUGCCCAGCAAGCCCCGACCGUGGCCAAUAGGGCACAACCACUGGCGGAGGCGCGCCGUGACAAGAACCAGAAGAAGGCGGUGCCCUUCUGGAUGGUGCUGGUCAUGUUUUCAGUUUUCGGGGCUGUGAUGGUGUUGCCCCUAAUGCAACUUUGACAAUAAUAAAGACAAUAAGAACGUGUGAUGCCAGGGCCGUAAUUUUGUAUAGUUUUCUAUUGGUUUGUCUGAGUGACUCAGUUGGUCCCCUAGACUACCUACCA